rnacentral:rRNA from 1 species
AUGUGCUUCUUCCUAUCUCUGGUUCAUCGGCCUCCCGAGACACUCUUGAGAUUCAAACUCAUGGAUGCUGACCAUGGUGAACUGCCAAUCACUACUGAAGACGGAACUACUGCUGUCACAGCCCGCUUUAUCAAGGGUGUUGACAAAAGGGCCACCAAGACUAGAGGCUGGAGCGACUUCUUCCGUCAGGCACACAUGAACAAAGGAAGCAUAUGCUUUCGCCUUCAAAUGCACUUCCAAGGGAUUGCGCCUGAUUGUUAUAGAUGCCUACCAAGACUUCUAUGUUUAUCAUCCUUUUGGAUCUUAUGUAAUCACCUGAGACCAUCCCGUGCAUUUAACUACCGGUUAUUUCCUGCUUAG